GAUACGUAUUUCUGCAUAGUAAUAAAAUCGAAAAACGCUUGACACACGUAAGUUGAAUGUCAAAUAAAUGUUUGUGUACGUUGACGAUCAGUCAUCAUGCUUUUAGAGUGUGUCCGUUUUGUUAUAAUUGAUUCGAUUUGUUUUAAAGCAGCGAGCUGUUUGUUUGUCUAGAAUAGCUUGGCAUUUACAUGCUACAGCAUGGAUAUUUGAUUUUUUUUUGUUUUGUUUUUUUGCUUUAGCCAUAUGCCAGUAUUGAUUUUUUUUCCCCCGAAAACGUAGGAAGGGCUAUAACCAAUUUUUACCAAUAAUUUGAUAUAAGUCUGCAUUAUAAAUUAAUAUAUAAAAUCAUCUACUCGUUUUUCGUAAUUAAUUCAUUUACUAUAACAGAAUCUAUAUUGUUAUAUUAAACAACAAUAAAUCUUGAUAUAUGAAAUCCUCCAUAAAUAAAGACAAAUAAUGUUCUAGAAUGCAUUUGUAAUUCGGAUAUUCUUUUUUGUUAUCUUAACUGGAUUGAAUCAACUAUGUACCCUCUGGUGUUCUCAGGCAUAACACAGGCAUUGAAAAUAAAAAUGCUUAUACGUAAUUUUGAACGUUAUACAAUUUAGUGACAUUUUCUUUCAAAUAUAUUAUCGCCAAUAUCCCGAAACCAUGACUUAGUUGAUUCAAUGUGGCGUUAAAAAAUACAGCUUUCGAAUGCAGUACAAUAUUAAUUUGAAGAGCCAAGCUUACGCCGGCUUCGAUCUAAUCUCAUUUGGUAACUGUGAGGCUUUACACCGCGGCUGUGUACUGUCAUCCGUACGUUUUACCACUUACCGUCGUACGAUGGUAAGAUGGCGGUGCACACGUUUGCGCUAC
rnacentral:precursor_RNA from 1 species